GAUGAACGCUGGCGGUGUGCCUAAUACAUGCAAGUCGAGCGAACAGACGAGGAGCUUACUCCUCUGACGUUAGCGGCGGACGGGUGAGUAACACGUGGAUAACCUACCUAUAAGACUGGGAUAACUUCGGGAAACCGGAGCUAAUACCGGAUAAUAUGUUGAACCGCAUGGUUCAAUAGUGAAAGACGGUCUUGCUGUCACUUAUAGAUGGAUCCGCGUCGCAUUAGCUAGUUGGUAAGGUAACGGCUUACCAAGGCAACGAUGCGUAGCCGACCUGAGAGGGUGAUCGGCCACACUGGAACUGAGACACGGUCCAGACUCCUACGGGAGGCAGCAGUAGGGAAUCUUCCGCAAUGGGCGAAAGCCUGACGGAGCAACGCCGCGUGAGUGAAGAAGGUCUUCGGAUCGUAAAACUCUGUUAUUAGGGAAGAACAAAUGUGUAAGUAACUAUGCACGUCUUGACGGUACCUAAUCAGAAAGCCACGGCUAACUACGUG
rnacentral:rRNA from 1 species